rnacentral:lncRNA from 1 species
CUGUCCCGCUCACAAAAGCGUACUGUUGUUCCACUUCUGUUUUUCCUUUUGGGAUGAGGGGCCUCAAGAGCUAAACCACCAUCUCCUCUCUGCCCGCAGGCUGUGGAAAGGCCGGUGCUGUACGUCGCUGUGAGCGUCCUUGGAGUGGGGACAGGCAGUGGACACCUUUCUUCCCCUCGUUCUCCUUCGCUCAGCAGCACCCAAUGUUUCAGCAGGUGGGAGAAGCCACCACUCAGAAAGCAACCCUGCACCCUUGAUAAACCUGUUCUCUCAGCAACUGGGGUUAUUGCCAGAAGAGAAGUCUCAGUCUUGAAAUGGGAUCUGAGGAUAUCAAAGGCUGCUCUUCACUUUGAGGGAGGAAGGAGAAGAGGAGGAGGAGGUUGAUUCCAUGGAUUUUUCAGUGGCCUGGAAGGAAUUAGGACACUACAGAUCCUCCUUGUCUGUCCUGCACAUCCUCCUCAGCCAGGUGUCAUCAGAUAAACCCAAAAUCAGUUGUUCAAAUCGAUUCCAGUUUUCUGGCAUGUAGGUUGCAAUCUUUUUAUUUCAGGUAAGUACUUACAGAAUCCUCUAAAAUUGCAAUUACUACAUUUGCACUGAGAUUUUAUGAGGAACAGAAUGUCCUAUUUCUGCAUGUGUGCAGAAGCUGUAUGUAUAGCUGAAGUUUAGGGCAUGUGAAGCAUUAAAUGCAAAAAAAAAAAAAAAAAAGUUCGCGUUUAGUUUUAAGUACUAUUUUUGAGCCAAGGAGACAAUUUGUCGCUCCAUUGUGUGAGUGUGUAAUACUGCGGUCAAAAAUAGUGACUUGAAUAAACAUUUUGCGGUGACAUGUCUAAAACA